CUUGUCGUACAGGUUGGAUGUCCCUUAUCCGAAAUAUCUGUGGACGAUUGUGGAAUUCCGGAUAAGAGACGUCCAGCCUGCACCACUUU
ensembl:miRNA aca-mir-5390 aca-mir-5390